rnacentral:snRNA from 1 species
GUGCUUGCUUUGGCAGCACAUAUGCUAAAAGUGUCACUAUGCAGAGAAGAUUAGCAUGGCCCCUGAGCAAGGAUAAUACACAAACUCAUGAAGAGUUCCAUAUUUUU